GGGGUAGAAUUCCAGGUGUAGCGGUGAAAUGCGUAGAGAUCUGGAGGAAUACCGGUGGCGAAGGCGGCCCCCUGGACAAAGACUGACGCUCAGGUGCGAAAGCGUGGGGAGCAAACAGGAUUAGAUACCCUGGUAGUCCACGCCGUAAACGAUGUCGAUUUGGAGGUUGUGCCCUUGAGGCGUGGCUUCCGGAGCUAACGCGUUAAAUCGACCGCCUGGGGAGUACGGCCGCAAGGUUAAAACUCAAAUGAAUUGACGGGGGCCCGCACAAGCGGUGGAGCAUGUGGUUUAAUUCGAUGCAACGCGAAGAACCUUACCUGGUCUUGACAUCCACAGAACUUUCCAGAGAUGGAUUGGUGCCUUCGGGAACUGUGAGACAGGUGCUGCAUGGCUGUCGUCAGCUCGUGUUGUGAAAUGUUGGGUUAAGUCCCGCAACGAGCGCAACCC
rnacentral:rRNA from 1 species